AGUGAACGCUGGCGGCGUGCUUAACACAUGCAAGUCGAACGAGAACGGACUUAAACUUGCUUAAGUUGUCAGCUAAGUGGCGCACGGGUGAGUAAUGUAUAGUUAACCUGCCCUCUAGAGAGGAAUAACAGUUGGAACGACUGCUAAUGCCUUAUAUGCCUUUAAGACAGAGUCUGCAAGGGAAAUGCUUUAGUGCUAGAGGAGUGGACGUGUAUGGUAUCAGUUAGUUGGUUGGGGUAAGUAGGCUUACCAAGACAAUGACGCCUAACUAGGUUUGUAGAGGAUGAUCAGUCACACUGGAACU
rnacentral:rRNA from 1 species